rnacentral:rRNA from 1 species
GUACGGCGAGUGAAGCGGCAACAGCUCAAAUUUGAAAUCUGGCCCCCAGGGUCCGAGUUGUAAUUUGCAGAGGAUGAUUUUGGCGAGGUGCCUUCCGAGUUCCCUGGAACGGGACGCCACAGAGGGUGAGAGCCCCGUCUGGUUGGACGCCGAGCCUAUGUAAAUCUCCUUCGACGAGUCGAGUAGUUUGGGAAUGCUGCUCUAAAUGGGAGGUAUAUGUCUUCUAAAGCUAAAUAUUGGCCAGAGACCGAUAGCGCACAAGUAGAGUGAUCGAAAGAUGAAAAGCACUUUGAAAAGAGGGUUAAAUAGUACGUGAAAUUGUUGAAAGGGAAGCGCUCAUGACCAGACUUGGGCCCGGUGAAUCAUCCAGCGUUCUCGCUGGUGCACUUUGCCGGGCUCAGGCCAGCAUCAGUUUGCCCCGGGGGAUAAAGGCUUUGGGAAUGUGGCUCCUCCGGGAGUGUUAUAGCCCAUUGCAUAAUAUCCUGGGGCGGACUGAGGUUCGCGCAUCUGCAAGGAUGCUGGCGUAAUGGUCAUCAGCGACCCGUCUUGAAACACGGACCAAGGAGUCGUCUUCGUAUGCGAGUGUUCGG